rnacentral:rRNA from 1 species
GACGAACGCUGGCGGCGUGCCUAAUACAUGCAAGUCGAACGCAGUGGGGACGGGUGAGUAACACGUGGGUAACCUACCAUCAGAGGGGAUAACACUUGGCAACAGGUGCUAAACCGAUACUGAUGGAUGGACCCGCGGUGCAUUAGCUAGUUGGUGAGGUAACGGCUCACCAAGGCCACGAUGCAUAGCCGACCUGAGAGGGUGAUCGGCCACACUGGGACGGAGACACGGCCCAGACUCCUACGGGAGGCAGCAGUAGGGAAUCUUCGGCAAUGGACGAAAGUCUGACCGAGUAGCGCCGAGUGUGAGAUGAGGGUUAGCGGAACGGAGAUCUCUGUUGGUUGAGAGGCGGUAUCUAACCAGAGAGCCAGGGCGUACAACGUGCCAGCAGCCGCGGUAAUUC